UUGAAACAAACAUGGAUGCAUCAUUCUGUGUACAUUCUGUUACAGUCCACUUAGGAUCACGUCAGAGUGUGACUCAUCUGCUGUGCCACAUUCAGGAUGUACUUUCCUCCUGGACUCUUUAAAUAUAGUUGAUAAAUCUGUGCAGAAAGGAUUUUGCAAAGAGCAUUUAUCAAACAAAUCGAAAACGAAUGCAUCAAAGACCCCUGAAGUUCUGCAGACUGUGAGUCAUUCCCAAAAGUUUCCACAAGAUGACACUCUUUCUCCAAAAUUAGACUCACUAACUUGUGCGGAGCUUUUGAAGAAAAAUGUACCUACAUCCAAAGCCUUACACAGUCUACGAAUGAAGAUCCAGCAACAGAAACUGAGGAGAGAGAUUCAAACUCCAGCACCUGGGAAGAAAGAUCGGCAACAUCUUACCAGAAAAAUGUGCAGGGUGACAAACAAAGCAGAGCAUUCUACGUACAUAUCCGCCUGGAGGAAUGCCCAAGGGCUUGUGAAACUAAUUUUGAACUCACCUUGCACUGCUGUUUCACAGGCUGAAAGAGUCAGCAUUAAGGAUCAGAGCAAGUGGUCAAGCAAGAAGGCUCCGGAACAAUGUGUUGUUUUGAAUGCUCAAACAAAUGGAGACCUAAGUUCAAACCAAAUCAAAAAGGAUGAGAAUUCAUCUAAGGAGCAUCCCAGCCCCUUGAGAUCUCAAGCUCAAGUCUUAUAUUCUUCAGCAUCUGGAAAGACAUUCCUAAGCCGUGCAGCUUCUUCAUACCCGGUCAAAGCAGUUCUGUUGGCACACAGAAAUCAUUACUCACAAAAUUCUACCUUAAAAGUGUUUGCUAAAAACUACGACAUUACAAAGACAACAAAACCACUAGUAGCAGGUAAAGAAAAUGAAGGCCAAACUAAAUCAAACGGGCAACCUAGAAAUAACAUCCGAGAGGUGCGUGAAUAUAUGCAUCACCAGGCCGUUGAGAGAAGGAGAAAGGUGCUGCAAAUGAGGAAAGAAGCACAGCGAGAGGACGAGAGGAGGCAAAGGAAUAUGCAUGAAGUAGUUAAAAAACAAAGGCAAGCGCUCCACAGGGCCAAGAGAGAACAGCAACAGGAGUACAAGGUAUGUAAAUGAAUGUUGUCUGGAAAAAGCAAA
rnacentral:lncRNA from 1 species